rnacentral:rRNA from 1 species
CAGGAUGGGAGUGAGAAUGUUGGCAUGAGUAGCGAGAUGUGGGUGAGAAUCCCACAGGCCGUAAACCCAAGGUUUCCAGGGGAAGGUUCGUCCGCCCUGGGUUAGUCGGGACCUAAGCUGAGGCCGACAGGCGUAGGUGAUGGACAACAGGUUGAUAUUCCUGUACUACCGAUAACCGGUUGAGAGAAGGGAUGACACAGUAGGAUAAGCUAAGCACCCUGUUGGUUAUGUGUGCCCAAGCAUUGAGGCAGUCAA